UGCAGACUCAAGGGGCAUCUCUUCAUGCUGACUUUGCUGAUAGCAGAUAUAAAUUCAGAGCCCCAUCCGUCAGAGAUAGGCUGUGACGGAUGGAGCCCAGAGGAGCUGACAUCCUGGGCUCAUCUGGACCCUGAAGGCCCCGAGGCGCCCACAGUCACCAGCAGAGCCCACCUCCUUCCCCCAGUCGUGGUUUCCAUUGGCCGGAGGCCGUCUAAUGAGGACGUUAUCAGAUCAGUGUCUUCAGCCUGACACAAGCCUAGCCGUCAGCACAAAGGAUUCAACCUUUUCCCACCUGCUCUUAAGAUGAACGACCAGCAGCUCACGCAAUAAAGUCACAGGAGGAGGGCGGUCAUAUUGAGUUUUCUUUCUAGGAGGAGAAUAACCUCAGAGAUGAAUAAGAGAAGUGAUUUAUGUCACAUAGUUCAAUUUUAGAACUCAUACAGUCCUUAUUUGAGUUGACUUUAGUUACUUCAACAAUAACUAAUAAACGGUCCUUAAGGUGA